rnacentral:tRNA from 1 species
GGAGGGCUAGUCCUAACUGGUAAGGCGGCGGACUUGAAAUCCGCUGGGUGUUAAACCCAUGGGGGUUCGAGUCCCUCGCCCUCCG